rnacentral:rRNA from 1 species
AUUGAACGCUGGCGGCAGGCUUAACACAUGCAAGUCGAGCGGGGUGAUGGUGCUUGCACUAUCACUUAGCGGCGGACGGGUGAGUAAUGCUUAGGAAUCUGCCUAUUAGUGGGGGACAACAUCUCGAAAGGGAUGCUAAUACCGCAUACGUCCUACGGGAGAAAGCAGGGGAUCACUUGUGACCUUGCGCUAAUAGAUGAGCCUAAGUCGGAUUAGCUAGUUGGUGGGGUAAAGGCCUACCAAGGCGACGAUCUGUAGCGGGUCUGAGAGGAUGGUCCGCCAAACUGGGACGGAGACACGGCCCAGACUCCUACGGGAGGCAGCAGUGGGGAAUAUUGGACAAUGGGGGGAACCCUGAUCCAGCCAUGCCGCGUGUGUGAAGAAGGCCUUAUGGUUGUAAAGCACUUUAAGCGAGGAGGAGGCUCUUUUGGUUAAUACCCAAGAUGAGUGGACGUUACUCGCAGAAUAAGCACCGGCCAACUCUGUGCCAGCAGCCGCCGUAA